rnacentral:rRNA from 1 species
GUGGGGAAUUUUGGACAAUGGGCGCAAGCCUGAUCCAGCAAUGCCGCGUGCAGGAAGAAGGCCUUCGGGUUGUAAACUGCUUUUGUACGGAACGAAAAGGCUCUGGUUAAUACCUGGGGCUCAUGACGGUACCGUAAGAAUAAGCACCGGCUAACUACGUGCCAGCAGUCGCGGUAAUACGUAGGGUGCAAGCGUUAAUCGGAAUUACUGGGCGUAAAGCGUGCGCAGGCGGUUUUGUAAGACAGACGUGAAAUCCCAGGGCUCAACCUGGGAAUGGCGUUUGUGACUGCAAAGCUGGAGUGCGGCAGAGGGGGAUUGAAAUCCGCGUGUAGCAGUGAAAUGCGUAGAUAUGCGGAGGAACACCGAUGGCGAAGGCAAUCCCCUGGGCCUGCACUGACGCUCAUGCACGAAAGCGUGGGGAGCAAACAGGAUUAGAAACCCCAGUAGUCC